rnacentral:tRNA from 1 species
GCCUUCAUGGUGUAGUGGUCAGCACGCUCGACGCGUAACUUAGAGGUCCGUGGUUCAAGUCCCGACGAAGGCA